AACGACUCUCUGCAACGGAUAUCUCAGCUCACGCAUCGAUGAAGAACUUAGCAAAAUGCGAUACUUGGUGUGAAUUACAAAAUCCCGUGAACCAUCGAGUUUUUGAAUGCAAGUUGCCCCCGAAGCUAUCCGAUUGAGGGCACGUCGCC
rnacentral:rRNA from 1 species